CUUAGAAGCAGCCAUCAUUUAAAGAGUGCGUAAUAGCUCACUAGUCGAGUGACACUGCGCCGAAAAUGUACCGGGGCUAAACAUAUUACCGAAGCUGUGGAUUGUCCUUUGGACAAUGGUAGGAGAGCGUUCUAAGGGCGUUGAAGCAUGAUCGUAAGGACAUGUGGAGCGCUUAGAAGUGAGAAUGCCGGUGUGAGUAGCGAAAGACGGGUGAGAAUCCCGUCCACCGAUUGACUAAGGUUUCCAGAGGAAGGCUCGUCCGCUCUGGGUUAGUCGGGUCCUAAGCUGAGGCCGACAGGCGUAGGCGAUGGAUAACAGGUUGAUAUUCCUGUACCACCUAUAAUCGUUUUAAUCGAUGGGGGGACGCAGUAGGAUAGGCGAAGCGUGCGAUUGGAUUGCACGUCUAAGCAGUAAGGCUGAGUAUUAGGCAAAUCCGGUACUCAUUAAGGCUGAGCUGUGAUGGGGAGAAGACAUUGUGUCUUCGAGUCGUUGAUUUCACACUGCCGAGAAAAGCCUCUAGAUAGAAAAUAGGUGCCCGUACCGCAAACCGACACAGGUAGUCAAGAUGAGAAUUCUAAGGUGAGCGAGCGAACUCUCGUUAAGGAACUCGGCAAAAUGACCCCGUAACUUCGGGAGAAGGGGUGCUCUUUAGGGUUAACGCCCAGAAGAGCCGCAGUGAAUAGGCCCAAGCGACUGUUUAUCAAAAACACAGGUCUCUGCUAAACCGUAAGGUGAUGUAUAGGGGCUGACGCCUGCCCGGUGCUGGAAGGUUAAGAGGAGUGGUUAGCUUCUGCGAAGCUACGAAUCGAAGCCCCAGUAAACGGCGGCCGUAACUAUAACGGUCCUAAGGUAGCGAAAUUCCUUGUCGGGUAAGUUCCGACCCGCACGAAAGGCGUAACGAUUUGGGCACUGUCUCAACGAGAGACUCGGUGAAAUCAUAGUACCUGUGAAGAUGCAGGUUACCCGCGACAGGACGGAAAGACCCCGUGGAGCUUUACUGUAGCCUGAUAUUGAAAUUCGGCACAG
rnacentral:rRNA from 1 species